UCCAUCAUUAAUACUAACGUGAGGAAAGGUAUUGGAAUUGUGCAAAUCUUCUUGGUUACAGCAAAACCAAUUCAACACUUUUUCAAUUUUUACACGUUUCUUCAUUCCAAUACACACAUUUUUCAUCUCUUUCCCUCUCCCUCUCUCUCUCUCUCACAGACAAAACUUAACCCUUCUUUCUUUCUUUCUUCCAUUUUCACUCCUCUCUCUUUUUCCUUCAAACCCUUGAACCACCGCCUGUUUACGGCCACCACACAUCCGCCAACACUGUCACUCCGCUGCGCGGGACCAAACAACAACCACCACUUUCAGAUUAUACGCGAUUAUUUCUCUUUUCCUUUCACUCUAUUGAUUUCAGGGUUUGUGCUUCUAAUCCUCAUUGUUUUGAUUUUCGAUUUUAGGUUUUGCCAUCAAAAAACAUGUCUUAUUGCUUAUUUCUGACCACUGUGCACCAAGUCCCAAAUCUUUCUUCCUGAAUCCUUCAUUAUGAAAAUGAGUCGAAAAUUUGAUUGCGUUAAAGAUAUUAGCGACAAAAAGGAAACCUGGAGAUUUUUUCUGCAUUGUUCACGUUCAUACAUUUAGCCGCAACCACAGUAGUUUAAUCCUCACGCGUGAUUUUUUCUGCAUCGAAACAAUGGGAAUCCCUUUCCAAUACUGGCAAUCGAUUAUGUAUGAAGAAAGAUCCUCAAUAAAUCAACCCAGUAGAACAAUCCAAAUAACCCCAAGAUCUCUUCUCCCUCUCCGCCUCUACAACCAGAAAAAACUCCACAUUUCUUUGUAGUUACGAUUUUCGGAGAAUAAAGAGAAACAAUGGUGGUUUAGGGUUUGGAUGAAGGUACGGAAAACGUUCAUUCUCCGAUUCAAUAGCAAUAAGAGCCGUAACGUGAAUGUUAAAUAAGGUUCUUUCUUCUUCAUUAUUUUUGUUAUUAUUUGUAUAUUUUGGUUUGGUUAUAUUGUUGCAGAUAAAGAAAUUAAUGUUAGCAACAAGUUUUGUUAUUAUUUGCUUAUUUUGAUUUGUGUAUUACAUUUUACAGACAUAAAAAGAGAGUUGUUGUGUUGU